AGACUGCAGGGAGGAGGUGCUGUGCUUCGGCAGGCAGGGGCGUCCCUCUCUGAGCCUCAGUGUCCUCGCCUGUAAGACAGGGACCAUCUUGCCAGCAACCCCUGCCUCAAAUUGCAAGCCUAGGGUGACAGAAGCCUCUGAAUUCUCCAUGGACGUCGAGAGCAGAGCCUGGCACAGCCCCACACAGGGCCAGGCCGGAGCGAGAACCCUGGCGGGCAGUCAGGAGGGGAGAACACAGAGCCCCUGCAUCCCCCACCCCUCUCCUCAUCCUCUGCAGGCCGGAAGGAAGCCCAGGCGGGAGUCUGGCCCUCAGCUCCCAGAUGAGGAGAACUCGCUCAGAAGGAAAAUAACAUCAGUGCCAUUGUCCCGGCUCCAAAUCCUGCCUGAAAAACAAAGCCAGCCCCACUGCAGCCGGGGAUUCCCUGGCAAAGCCUCAGCCCGGCAGCCUGGUCAGGGCGGCGCAGACCCGCAGGGAGGCAAAGGGGUCAGCAC
ensembl:lncRNA